GGAGGUAGCUUCUAUGCGGGUGGAUAAGGAACAAGAGAACAGGGCGAAGCGGCUUGGCAAUACUAAGGGGUCUGCAAGUUCCUCACAAUUGCUUCCUGGGAGAAAUAUCCCUCGAAGCAGCCUGGUCCGUAACCUUCAAUGACAGAGUCGUCGUCGCAGCCUGAAAGAGCUUCUCCCGUGUUAUCAUCUUUACUUAGUUCUCAUAUUGAUUUUGGAAUUAAACUCGGCAUCGACUACCCUGCGACAAUGUGGUAGGUCUGCAUCUGACAUGACUUGCUGUAGGGGAAAUGAAGCUGAAGGCGG
rnacentral:misc_RNA from 1 species